GCCCAGACUCCUACGGGAGGCAGCAGUGGGGAAUAUUGCACAAUGGGGGGAACCCUGAUGCAGCGACGCCGCGUGGGUGAAGGAGUACUUCGGUACGUAAAGCCCUAUCAGCAGGAAAGAAAAUGACGGUACCUGACUAAGAAGCCCCGGCUAACUACGUGCCAGCAGCCGCGGUAAUACGUAGGGGGCAAGCGUUAUCCGGAUUUACUGGGUGUAAAGGGAGCGUAGACGGCAGUGCAAGUCCGGAGUGAAAGCCCGGGGCUCAACCGCGGAACUGCUUUGGAAACUGUUAAGCUGGAGUACUGGAGAGGCAAGCGGAAUUCCUAGUGUAGCGGUGAAAUGCGUAGAUAUUAGGAGGAACACCAGUGGCGAAGGCGGCUUGCUGGACAGAGACUGACGUUGAGGCUCGAAAGCGUGGGGAGCAAACAGGAUUAGAUACCCGUGUA
rnacentral:rRNA from 1 species